AACGCAUAUUGCGCUCUCUGGUAUUCCGGGGAGCAUGCCUGUUUCAGCAUCAUUUGAACAUCUCAAAAUCAUUGUUGAUGGUUUUGGAAGGUUGGGCUUUUGUUGUGUGACUAAAUACAACUGGCCUGAAAUUUGUGCUAAAUAAAUGCAAGAAAAAUCGUAGAUGCUUUGCUGCAAAAGACGAAAAGCUUAUUAGUUGACUGUGGUCAAAUUUGCUGACUAGUAUUUGAAGACUAAGCAUGUCUACUUUUACAAAUUGAUCUGAAAUCAGGUAGGAUUACCCGCUGAACUUAA
rnacentral:misc_RNA from 1 species